rnacentral:sRNA from 1 species
GGUUCGACUAAGGUUCGACUCGAGCGAAGCGAGAGAACGUUGCCGCAGGCAACGGCCCGAAGGGCGAGGCGCUUUAGCGCCGAGUAAUCCUUCCCCCACCACCA